GAGGAGAGGCGCCGUCUGCUGGGGUGGGGGUGCGGGGCAGCACAGCCCACCCCCCCCACCCCCCAGGCAAGGCUUCUAAGCGGCCCCCCAUGCCGUACCUGGCGGGUGUGUAGUCUCCCUUCCCGGCACAUCCACAGCCUCAUCUGCACCACGAGAGAUGCCAGAUAAAGUGACCAAUCCCAGCCUGGCCCCAAGCUCCCCAGCUGCGUAGAAGGUGCCAGGUGAAACCCCAAGGCUGUCGAAUAUUAAACAAAUAACCGAGGGAAUAUUAUAUUUAUUGGAAGCAAAACUGCGAAGAUAACUUAGAUGUCAAGUUUUAACCCCCGAUAUGUCAGUAUCCUCGGCUUACCCUCAGUUAUCUCUGUCCUGAUCACAAGACUGGACCACCGUUUUGACAGGAUAUUGGGGGACAGGGGUGUCGUUUGUUUUGGCGGAGGAAAUAUUUCAAAUGAGGAAGCUCAACCGGCUAUGGGUGGGAAGGGGGGCGGUCUUUGCUCAGUAAAACGUUUGGAACGCAUGUUUCCAGCAUUUCAGAAUUCCUCAUGACGUUUGUAUCCUUCCCUCAGCAAGACUGUGGAUGGUCUUUGCUGACGUUUCCAACCCUAAGCCUGCAGAGUGGCCAAGCUUCAGGUUUGGAAAGUGCUAAGCCCGCUCACGGGAAGCUCCGAGGUACCUUCGGCCCCCCGCCCCGCACUCACUCAGGUAGUAAUUCUGUGUGUAACGGAACCAGAACGCUCCCUUUCCAUCUCUGUUAAUUUCCAAAUUGGCUCGUUAAAUCCAUACAUUCCAGAGACUUGAUCCAACAUUCCAGGGACCCUUUCCAUGGACAAGCAGAGCAGGAGUUCUUUUCAGCAGGGUUGGUUCAAGCAGAGGGAAUGUGGAAAACAAAACAAAACAAAAAUAACAACCAAACAUCAACCAAAAAACCUCCAGAACAAAUUACCUUCAUCUUGCAAAGGGGACCUCAGAUGGCAGCCUCACCAGCCCCACCAGCCCCGCCAGCCUCAUCAGCCUCGCCAGCCUUAUGUUACUCUGGCCGUGUCUCUCCCUGACUCCCCUGUCCCUUUCAUCCCACACAGUGUAUCGCCAUUAGCCUGGCUUUGGGCCCGGCCCCAGUUUGCUUCCAGUUUGUUGGACUCCUACUGGAGACGAGACACUGUUAACUAGCAGCCCUGCCAGGAAGCCAGUGCAGCCACCUCCAGGGUGUUCUUCUCCGUGUUGUUGCCGUGACACAGACGUGGAAGUGUGUUUGAAGUGUCAGAGCGCUCUUGCCAGGGGAGGUGUCGGCUUUGCUGCUGGAUGGGUACACAGUGUACCACACGUGUGAGCAGGGCACGGGGGGGGGGGGAUUUUAGCUGGAAUUAACAACCGCGUAAGAACUGAAAACAAAUAAAUAAAUAAGCUAAGUGUUCAAAGGCUGUUUAUCAGCUCAGUGUGUCGCCACGGCUAAAUGCCAACUUUUUGUUUCUCCGUGUACCUUUUCCAUUCCUCUGACCUUCAGAAUUCUUCCCACAUUCAGGAAUAAUUGACGCUGCUCUCACGGCUCUUCGUGACCUUGGUUAAAGGAACAGUCUGCUCUUUUUCUCUGAAAUGCUUUGGUGGGGCGAUACCUUUUCCUUUCCCCAAAGGGCAGCUCAAGGCGGUGGGGCGUCAGGAAGGAUGAGUUCCGGUCCCCAACCUUCCGGUCUCUUGUUUACCACCUGUCACCUGGGGCAGAGGCAGUAAAGGCCAUCCAGGCCUCAUCCACAUGCCGCCUGUGGUCGGUGUCCCCAGCAGGUCUUGAACACUCAGUGAAUGCAUAUUGCCAGGCACCUGUCUGUGCGGUGGACCCUGCUCUCAGGAGCCUGUUAAUCCCUGUGUGCAGAGGGUCAUUCAGGUAAAUGCAAACAGGGCUUGUGGUCCGUCUCUGCUCACUGCCCUGGGAUGGACACAGCCGGUACCCAGCAAUGGCAGGUGUAUUAGUAUUUAUUCAAUGGAUGAAUGAAUGGAUGCUGAGUUACAGAAAUGCAGUUUCAUCUCAGAGGUAAAGCAGCAGCCAGGCUUCCCCAGUUUCACAGCCCAGUAGGCCCACCUGCGUGGUAUCUGUGUGGCAGAAGCAGACUCCCACUUCUCCGUGUGUGGGGCCGUGGCCGGGAGCUCUUGGGCAACAAUCAGACUGCAUUGGUGUGUGGGGUGGCCCUGCUGGGUGGGAUGGGGUAUGAGGAGAAACAGAGGGGAGCAGGCUUUUGGUUGAAGCUGGAGGGCUUAGGUUGCUGACCUAAUGUCACCUCUUCAUCUCAUCUAGAAAGUGGAGGAAGACUCAUACCUACUUCAAAGGGUCGCUCUGAGGCCUAAAUGAAUCUGUAUGUGUAAAGUGUUGAGAACUGGGCCUGGCCUAGAGUAAGUUCUAAUUAAAUAUCAGCCCUUUAUCAUGUUGUUGUUAUUAUUUUGGGGAGCAGAGGAGGUGUCAGGACCUGAGUGUUGAAGGAAAUGAUAGGACAGCUCAGUUUCUAGAGAGGAGGGUGGGCCUCUCAGUAGCCCUCGGGUCUUAUCUGGUAGGUGGGUUUCCACGGUGGUAGAGGCAGGAGGUUAUAAGUGGAAUCGGAUGGCCCGCAGCCACCUCCUGCUUCUGGUUCUAGGCACCAAAUACCUACCCUCCCAACACACACACACACACACACACACACACACACACACACACACACACACUGAAUGGAUGGGAGUUUAGCAAAUAGCAUCUAGGAGACAGGCAAGAUCAGAUAGGACGGUCCAGAGCCAGUGAGGUAGGCCAGGGUUUAGGAAUUUGUCUGAAUGCCUAUUAGGGAAAUUGAGGCAGAAGCCUAGUAGGUCCCAUUUGCCCCAAGCUCUUGGCAGGCGCACCUGAAAUCAGAUCCCGGGCGGCCAGACCAUAAGCCCUGGCUCUUGGCAUUGCUGAUCAUUGGACUCCUGGCCUGGUGGGGUUUGGUCUGAGGGCCAUGGAAGCAGUCAGCAGUGACUCACAUCCUGCAGAGGAGGGAGGUGAGGAGGGUUCUGGAGACCUCAGAGGCUUGGGAGGUGGGUGGGAGAGGCUUGAUGGAGGCCUUGAGUUGAGAUGGGGGCUGGGAGGAUGGCCAGGACUUGGGGGAUCCGACUGAGGUGGUCCAGGCCGAAUGGGAGAACGGAGUGAGGUUGCAGGUGGGCUUGUGCGUGAUGUGAUCCGGGCACCUGAGUACUCUUGUGGGCCUGGAACAGAGGGAAGGCCGUGCUGGAGGGGAGAAGCCUGGCGUGAGACUCAGGAGACGGGGCCAGGGCCAGGGAGCCUUGGCACCGAGCUGGUGAUGAAGAGCGCUGGCCCUUUCGGGAGCACUGUCGCAGCAAACCUGAUGCGGCUGGAGGCGUCUGUGCGUGUCCCUACUGUAGACAAGUGCAUCAUAACGAGAGGCUCUGGAGGCGCUGUGGAAGAAGCAGGCGAUGAAGGGAGGUGAUUUCUUAACAACCAUUGUGAUCAAGAGCCUGGACGGUGCAGAAUCCUGGGUGGAGGGGUGGGAGCGGCGGGGAAAGGAGGAAUAUGCCGUGGAGCAAACAGCCCUGGGCCAGUGGCUGGUGAGAUACAGAAGACGCGUGUCUGGGGGUGCGGCCCCAUUUGGGGGGGCAGCUGCCGGCUGAAAUGAACUCCAUUUCCACCUCUCAGGGGUCUAGGUGACCGCGACAGGCCCCAGGGGACAGGCAGGGGCCUGGGCUGGAGAGGAGGCUCCAGGAGGCCUUGGGCAGAGCCGAAGGCACAGGUGGGGAAGCGUUGGAGCACAGAGAGAGAGAGGCUAGUGACAGAGCGGGGACAACAGCCAUCCCCGGGGCCAAGAGGAGAAGAAGCAGCUUCAGAGGGUGAGGUCAAGGUGGCCUGAGAUGUCCCCCAGAGGCAAACAAGAGAGUGUAGCCUCCCCCUGCAGAGGGGGGCGUCUGCAGCCCAGCCGGGGCCGGCCCUCUGCUGCCACCUUGUCUCGCAACACACUCAUGUGUGCGCUCGCACCCUGCAGCUCCACCCCGGGACCUUCCUCCGGAAAAGCCUUGGCAGCUCCCUGCCCCAUGCACCCAUUUCCAUUACUCCCUCCUCUGCACCCCUACAACCCCCCCACCCCACACGUACCAGAGCAUCGAGCAAUAACCUGUUUUCUGGUGGGUCUCCCCACGGGAAGUGAGCUUCGCAGGCCUGCUUCUCAGGGAGGCGCACAGGACGUGAGCCCCCUGAGGAGGGUUCCCGAGAGGGACUUGGGGUCAACAGCCCUUCAUUCGAGGCUGCAGCCUGUGUGGAUGGUGGCAGGAGAGCAGGGUGAUGGCGGGCACCCCCCCCCAAGGAUUCCGGCUGCGGGAACCACCCUACGUCUCCGAGUUGUCAUCCCUCCUGUCCACCUGUCCCCCGGGCUGCAGCCUUCGCCCCACUUUCCUUCUCACCUGGUUGCUGCACCGGUUGAAGCCGUGACCUGAAUCUCCCCAUCAUUAGGUCCACGUGGACAGCAGCUCCUCGGGAAAUGCUGCUUUGAGCAGGUGGUAGCUAUCCGCAAAGUGAGGACUGGUGAAAACAGAGAGCUGACGGCUGCGCAGAGCUCCUUCCAGGGGAACUCCUAUCGUCCCAGCCUCCGACGUCCUCUGAGCACCUGAAGGGAGCCUGUGCCCUCUGGAGAGAGCCCGGGAGACAGAGGUGUAGUCUCUCCAGCCGCCAACCCCAGGCUGCGUAAGGGGAGAAGAAACUCAGUUUUCUAAGUGUCUUCUUUAGCCACGCGUAAAGCUUGGCACUUUCACCAACAGGAUUUUCUUUCAUUAAUCCACGGAGCAGCCUUGGGAUACUGAUUCGCAUGCUGAUUCAUCAGCUUCAUUUACUCUGAUACUGCCGGGCAGCCUCCCGAGGGCAAGUCGCUAGCUCACGCUGGGAGGUUAUGGGUUUGCCUGACUCUGUGUUUCUCGUUUGUCACCGAGACUGGCUCUCUGCUCUGCGCAGAGCAGCGGUAGAAACUGGCCAUCCCACCGCCCCAGAGGCCCCUGGCACUAGAGGAGGUUUUCUUUUGUCUGAAGAGGCAAGAGCCAGCCUUCGGGAAGGGACAGGGCAGGGGCCCUGUGUCCUGUUGAGACCCAGGAUUCUGAGAGCAAAGGGUCCUGCGACUUGAGUGCCCGGUAUGUGGGGCCAAACUCUGUCUUGGAGGCCUGGAAACAUUUGACAUGAUGUCAUGAAAAGCUAUGAAAGCGUCUCUCCAAAACUCCGAGGAGGAAUUAGGCUUUUGCACGUACGUAUGUAUUCAAUUUUCAGCUGUCCUGAUUUCUCUCAAAGAGCCGCUGGUUCUUCCCUGGAGUGGGGCCAGGCCCCUCUGUGCCUCCACUGCCCGGGGACGGGUCCUGCGUGCCCGGCUCCUCUUGUGCCAUGUGUUUUCUGGCUGUUCGGGCCGUCCUCUCUGGCAUUUUUCAAUCCCACGUGGUCAGGCGCUAAGAACCUUAGAACAAAGCAAUCGCUGCUCUGACCUUGAGAGACGGCAGGGCCUUGCUGAUCUGCCUGCGGGUUGAGCUGGGACCUAGGGUAGGGCGUGAGGGCCGGGAAGAGUCCCUUUGCUGUCAUAGCGGAAGGGGAGGACACCCAGGCCUCCCCCUGGGAGGCAGAAAGGAAGAGGAGAAGGCCCAGGAGACGAGGGCGGGACCUGCCCUUGGGGAGGUCACGGUGUCCCCUGGCAGGAGACAGGCUGUGUGGGAGAACCGCUGGAGGAAUGUGAGUUGGGUCAUUCUCUUACCCUUAGGGGCUCAGCAAACCCUGAGUGAGCGGAGACGGCUGGGAUUGCAGGGCCCCCAGGUGCCUCUGCCCCCUGCCCCUUGCCUCCAGCCCCCGAGGGCUCACCGUGUGGUGGGAGGAACAGGCAUGUACACACAGGCACGGCCAGUGUGGGUGACGGAUGUGGAGAUAGAGCAGGUGCCCAGGCUCCUUGGGCAUCAAGAAGGAGACCCAGAGGAGGAAGGUGACUUAAAGAGAAGAGGAGGACGUGUCCUAGGUUCAAGGAACAAGAGCCAAUGGGCCGGACCGGAGGCCUGAAGCUGCCUGAUGUUCUCUGGUGUGGGGUGAGUGUAGGCGUGGCUGCCCUCUGCAUGUCCCCUAUGGGUCGCCAGGUGUCUUUGCCUGGCUCUCAGCAGGGCCCAGCUUUAGGACGGGCAGCAGAGGCCAUGAGGAGGGCUAGCUUCCUGGAGGCAGGAGUGAGCUGGGAGGCUUCGUGGAGGAAGACUUCCCCGGGGCCUCAGUGAGAGCCAGGGUUUGGACAAGCAGGAAGGAAAGCAGGGCCAGCCCCAGAGAGGCGCAGAGAACCUGGGCCAGAUGGGAACACAGUGUCGGGCGGGAGGUGCCCAGACUGAGGGGGGCCAGUGGUGGCAUGUGGCACAAUGGCGGUAUCCUCAGAUGAGGCGUUAACUCCCUUCCCCGAGGGGCUGUGAGUACUGAGGAGGGCCCCUGCGGUUAAGAGGAGGCUCCUGCCCUGGGAGGGGCCACUCCUCAGUCAGGUCACCAAGGGCCAUGAGUAUCUGAGUCAGGGUGACCGCUCCACACUGCAGUUUGACCAUCUGGAAAACAAGGAUGCGGCAAGGCGGCGGUGGGGGGGGGGGGGAACCUCUGGCAUCCCAUGAUGACCUUGCCUCGUGACCUUGAGCAAGGCACGUGGCUUCUGGGACUCAGCUCCCUGGUUCGCCACAUUGGGAGAGUGGAGCACCAUUGCCGUGUCACCUCGCUGAGCCUCUAGGAGGACCAUGCAGAUGGCACUGGUGAAAUCGCUCCAAGCAAAGCUGCCCCCACGGAGGGUCAGGAGACCCUGAGACCCGUCUGACUCAGCCCCAGCGGGACCGCUCUCAGCUUUCCUGCAGCCAGGCCCCGCCUCCCGGCUGAUGUGCCUCCCCCCCCCCCACUCUGAGCCUCUGAUCCCCGGGGUCCGAGGACAGCCUAGGCCGCCAGCUGCACCGCCACUGCCCGGAGCAGACCGGUCCCCACGCCUGGCAGUGGGAACGCGGGCGGGCCCACCUGGCACAGGAGCUGCGCUGCCUGGGAGGACGGCGGCCUGUCUGCUCUGGGCCCAGGGUCCUGGCUCUGGCGCUCUGAGCUCACCGAGGUUUAUUUAUUUAUCAUUUGUUUGGGGUGAAAUGGGAGAGAGUCAAAUCCACGGAGCUGUUGUAGCAGCAGUUGGUGGAAAGAAAGGCAUGUCUGUUUUUCCCGAAAGAAUCCCUCGCAUUGUGGCCCUGGCCCUUGGUUGGGUUUCGGCAGACAAUGCCUUCCUUUCUCCCUGUGCCCGCCGGCUCGCCCCCGCCCGCCCGCCAGCCCGUCUGUCCUUGGUCCACUGGGCCUGCCGCUGCCCGCUGGACUUGGCUGCCGGGAAGGAAGGAAGGAGACGCCGGCUGCCUUGGCUGAGCCGUCCGGCCAGUGCACUGGGCCCUGCAGGCCUCUGGGGCUGCCACGCUCCUGCGCCCCCGUCUCUUUGGAGGCCUCGUGCAUAGUAUAUGUUGAGGGCAUGCUCUGUGCCAGGCAUUGUGCCCACUUCACGGAAGCCUUCCUCCCUCCUGGAACGGGAAUCAGGUCUUAGGGAAGGAGCCUCGUCUUAUUUUCUUUUUGCACCCCCUUGGGCUGUCGUGUGUCGCAGAGGAAUCCAGUUAGCAACACUGAUAACUCAGAUGGAAGAGAUGACAACGAGGAAUGAAAGGGACAUUAUAAAACUCUGAGAGGACGGAGGAGGGAACACGUCCCAACUUUCUUCCUAACCUUCCAGCCUCCUUGAGGCCAGCGUUAUGCUGAUACCAACACCAGACAAAGACAUACGAGGAAAGAAACCUAUAGAGCAAUCCCUCUUGCGUCGUGAAUGCAGAUGGAUGCAGAAAUUCUCAGUAUAACACCAGCUGACCAGAUCCAGCAUAGAUAAGAAGGAUAAUGUCUCACGAUGAAGUGGGUGUUAUCCUGGGAUUACAAGGCUGGUUUGAUAUUCAGAAGUCAAUGUAAUUUACCACCUCAGCAGACUAAAGAAGAAACCCUGGUAUGAUCGAUCAUCUCAAUAGAUUCAGAAAAAGCCCUUGUCAAAAUCAACACUGUUCACGGUUAAAAACUCUCAGCAAACUGGGAUAGAAGGGAAUUUUCUUGAUCUGAUAAAGGGUGUCUAUUGAAAACACCUACAACUAAUAUCAAACAUAAUGAUAAAAUUUGCAUACUUUUCCCUAAGAUCAGGAACUAGGCGAAUCACAUAUCUGAUAAAGGACUUGCUUCCAGAACCUAUAAAGAACUCUCAAAACUCCAUAGCAAGAAAACACAUGCCGAGUUCCUGUUGUGACUCAGCAGGUCAAGGACCCAACAUUGUCUCUGUGAGGAUGCGAGUUCGCGUCCCCGGCCUUGCUCAGUGGGUUAAGGAUCUGGCGUUGCCACAAGCUGUGUAGGUCACAGAUGCAGCUCAGAUCCCGUGUUACUGUGGCUGUGGCGCAGGCCUGAAGCUGUAGCUCUGAUUCAGCUCCUCGCCUAGCAACCUCCAUAUGCUGCAGGUGGGGCCAUAAAAAGAAAAAAACCACAUGCAAUUUAAUAAUGAGCAGAAUAUUUGAAUACCUACAAGACAUAUAGGUGGCAAAUAAGCACAUGAAAAUACUUAAUAGCUUCAGUCCUUAGAAAAAUGCUGAUUACAACUACAUGCUGAUUAGAACGACUCCGAUUAAACUGGAAAAUAGCCAGGGUUGGCGAGUUCAUGGAGCAACUGCAGCUCUCUUACUUUGCUGCUGGGAAUGCUAAGUGGUCCAACCACCCUGUGAAACAGUUUAUUAUUAAGUCGAACAAACCCUUGCCACACCUGGAAAUCCCACUAUUAGAAAUUUACCCAAAUGAAAUCAAAACCUGUGGUCACAUAGGAAUUGCACCGGUGUUUGUAGUGGCUUUAUCUAUAAUAACCCCAAGGGGGAAACAAGCCAAAUGUCCCCAAACUGGGGAAUUGACGCACAGACUCUGGUGCAUCCAUACGCCGGGAUACUGCUCAGCCAUGCAAAGGAGAGACCUCCUGAGGCCGACACCUCAGAUGAGCUGGACCGCAUUAUGGGGAGUGAGAGACGUCAGACUCAAAAGGCUGCACGGAGGCUGCACGUACAUGACAUCCUGGAAAAGGACAAACCAGGGGGACAGAAAGCAGCAGCAGCUGUCAGGAGGUGGGGGCGGGGUGGGUUUACUACAAAAGACACAGGAGGAUUCUUUGGGGGUGCUAGAACUAUUUUUUUUAAUCUCAACUUGGGGGGUUAUGUGAAUGCUAUGUGUUUGUCAAAACACUUACACAAAUGUAAGUUUGUACACUUAAAAGAGUGCAUCUUGCAUUGUAUGUAAACUGCGUCUUAAUCAUCAC